rnacentral:rRNA from 1 species
AGCAGCCGCGGUAAUUCCAGCUCCAAUAGCGUAUAUUAAAGUUGUUGCAGUUAAAAAGCUCGUAGUUGAACCUUAGGCCCGUGCGGGCGGUCCGUCCUCUGGGCGAGCACUGCCUCGUCGCGGGUCUCACCUUCUGGCGAGCGUGGAUGCCAUUCAUUUGGUGUCUGCGGGAACCAGGACCUUUACCUUGAAAAAUUAGAGUGCUCAAAGCGGGCUCUUACGCUUGAAUACAUUAGCAUGGAAUAAUGAAAUAGGACGACGGUUCUAUUUUGUUGUUUCCGGGAUUGUCGUAAUGAUUAAUAGGGAUAGUUGGGGGCAUUCGUAUUCAAUUGUCAGAGGUGAAAUUCUUGGAUUUAUUGAAGACGGACUACUGCGAAAGCAUUUGCCAAGGAUGUUU